GACGAACGCUGGCGGCGUGCUUAACACAUGCAAGUCGAACGGUAAGGCCCUUUCGGGGGUACACGAGUGGCGAACGGGUGAGUAACACGUGGGUGAUCUGCCCUGCACUUUGGGAUAAGCCUGGGAAACUGGGUCUAAUACCGGAUAGGACUACGCGAUGCAUGUCGUGUGGUGGAAAGCUUUUGCGGUGUGGGAUGGGCCCGCGGCCUAUCAGCUUGUUGGUGGGGUGAUGGCCUACCAAGGCGACGACGGGUAGCCGGCCUGAGAGGGUGUCCGGCCACACUGGGACUGAGCUACGGCCCAGACUCCUACGGGAGGCAGCAGUGGGGAAUAUUGCACAAUGGGCGCAAGCCUGAUGCAGCGACGCCGCGUGGGGGAUGACGGCCUUCGGGUUGUAAACCCCUUUCAGCACAGACGAAGCGUAAGUGACGGUAUGUGCAGAAGAAGCACCGGCCAACUACGUG
rnacentral:rRNA from 1 species